CUAGGUUGAUUCUGCCUGACGUAGAUGCUAGUCUCGGAGGUUAAGCCAUGCAAGCCGCGAAGAGCGGCGGACAGCUCAGUAAAGCAGCCAGAAUCGAAUCGGCGAACGACGGAUAUCCGCGGGAACCUGCGGGCAAGACGAGGAAGCAGCGGCACGAAUGAAGCAGGGCAGCAGGCAGAGCGAAAGCGGGGCCGAACGAACGGCUGCGCCAUCAGCUGGAAGGUAGGGUAGAGGCCUACCUUGGCGACAACGGGUGCGGGGAAUCAGGGUUUGGUUCCGGAGAAGGAGCAGGAAGGACAGCUCCUAGUUCCACGGAACGCAGCAGGCGCGAAACUUGCUCACUUCCUGGGGGGAGAAGCAGUUACGAGACGUGCCACGGGCAGACGCCACAGCAAAGGGGUGGGCGAGAAACUGGAGGGCAAGUCUGGUGCCAGCAGCCGCGGUAAUUCCAGCUCCAGGAGCAUCGGUGACGAUUGCUGCAGUUAAAAGGUCCGUAGUCGGGAGAGGGCGCCGACAGGAAAGCGCAGUGCUCAAGGCAGGGAGAGGCGAGUAUGGUCGGGAAGCCGGGAUGGCGCGCAGGGGCAGACGGGGGCAGGAGAAUUCCACAGGGAGAGGUGAAAUUCGCAGAUCUGUGGAGGGCUGACAGAGGCGAAGGCGCCUGCCAAGGAUGCUUUCGAUGAUCAAGGACUUAGGCCGGAGGAUCAAAGACGAUUAGAGACCGUUGUAGUUCCGGCAGUAAACGAUGCCAACAGUCAGUCGCGGAGACGCGGAGGACAGAGAGAAAUCGAGAGUACGUGGGCUCUGGGGAAAGUACAGCCGCAAGGCGGAAACUUAAAGGAAAUUGACGGAAGGACACCACCAGGAGUGGAGCAUGCGGCUUAAUUUGACUCAACGCGGGGCAACUUACCAGGGCCGCUGCCGGGAGGAGGGGACGCGGAAAAGGCGGGCCCGAUUCGGCAAAGAGUGGUGCAUGGCCGUCUGCAGCGCGUGAGAUGACUUGGUGGUUAACUCCAGGAACGUGCGGAACCCCGGCACCGCCUCCACGGAGGGGGUGGACAUGCUCGAGACGGGGCAGGAAGGAAGGGGCGAAGACAGGUCAGUGAUGCCCUCGGAUACCCUGGGCUGCACGCGUGCUACAAUGCGGGGGACAGCGCGGAGUGCCGAGAGGCGCAGGAGAAGACCGCGCGUGGUGGGGAUGCCCGGAUGGAAGAGCGGGCUGAACGAGGAAUUCCAAGUAAUCGCGGGUCACCAGCCAGCGAUGAAAGCGUCCCUGUCCUUUGUACACACCGCCCGUCGCUAUCUAAGAUGGGCACGGGGGCAAGCACCCGGGAGGAAGCAAACGGGCGCGAGUCUGCGGGCCUAGAUCGGAUAGAAGUCGUAACAUGGGCUGCAA
rnacentral:rRNA from 1 species